rnacentral:misc_RNA from 1 species
GAAAUGCGAUACCUAGUGUGAAUUGCAGCCAUCGUGAAUCAUCGAGUUCUUGAACGCACAUUGCGCCCUCCGGCAUUCCGGGGGGCAUGCCUGUUUGAGCGUCGUUUCCUUCUUGCGCAAGCAGAGUUGGGGUUGUCACCGUCUUUCGGUGGCUCCCCCGAAAUGGAACGAUUGCGGGCUUAGAGAGCGAACUAUAAAACGCGCGUUCUCCCCGCCGAACUUUUAAUCAAGCUCGACCUCAAAUCAGGUAGGAAUACCCGCUGAACUUAA